UAAAGUGACGCAGCGCCAGCGCAGCCACAUCGAUAUAUAUUGUGAGGUAUUUCGUAUUUCAGACCGUUUUGAGCUGUACGCAAAACAGCCCGCUGGCGCCGAUCAAACAGAGUGAAUACAAAAUACGAAGUGAAUACAAGAAACGAAAUAUGGGAGGAAAUAAAGACCAAAACAAAAAAAUUGGCAUUGGAGCAACAGUUGGUGCAGUGGGCGGUACAGCUGCCGGGACGGUGAUGGGGUCCAUCGGGGGCCCGGCGGGGGCUGCGGCCGGGGGCGUCUUGGGUUGCGAGCUGGGCAUGGCUCUCGGCGGCCUCUUAGGCGCCACCGCUGGCAGAAAGAAAUGAAAAAAAAAAGCGUUAUUCUAGUGCAGCAGAUGAUGGUGGCGAUUGGCAAGCGUACAACACGGAAAUAAGGGCUGAUUUAGACUACUAUGCGAGAACUCGCAUGCGAGUUUCAUACCAUUGCGGGUUUUGAUCGGUCAGUUGAAUUGGGUGUAACCAACAGUCCGCAAUGUAACUGAAAUCGUACGCGAGAUCGCGCGCCGUCUAAAUCAGCCUUAAUGAUCCCUCUUUUAUCACUUGUCGUGUCAUGCGUCAGUUUCGUACUUACAUAUUAGUGGUUAUUAACGUGACAGCCACGGCGACAGUCGGUAAAGGGGCGGCCAUCUUUACCCUUGGACGCCUUAGAGCAUUUAGUAACGGAGAUGUCAUCGCUGUCAUUUUCUUUACGAAACAGUCUGCCGAUUUUUGCGGGGGAGGGGACGUCAAAUGUAUUGCUAUUUCUACAUAAUUUGUAAGUAACGUACAAAUAGCCAUGUCAGUCCAUACAAAAGUUUGCACCAUUGUGCAAGUUUUUCGGCAGAGGGGCUUACCCUUAAUGCCCACUCCAGUUAUUAAAUGCUCUAAGUUGGACGCACUUCUACGGCACAAUGAUGCGUUGACGGUUGCCGUUUGUCACCAUUAUCUGAAUUCAUAGUGCGAGCGAUAACAGACACCGGUUGUCUUUGUCGUGCGCAACUCCUUACUAGCAGUCGCGCUUGACAUAUUAUAACUAUGCUAGGAGGUAUAUUGUAUUAAUUUAGUUGGUCUUCAUUUGAUCUAUUAUUGUGUCUUAUAAAUUAAAAAUUUCAAUGAUUUUAAAUAGUUAAAUAGUACCUAUGUAUGUUUAAAUAGUAUCAAAUGUUUAAUCGUUGAUGUGUAACAAGCUCUUGCUUAAAUUCAUAAGAUUGUUUUUUUUUAUAAAUUAUUAAGUAACAAUAUAAAUAUUUAUUUUAGAAACCUUCAAAUAAUAUAUUUGUACUAUAGAAUAAA